rnacentral:rRNA from 1 species
AGUUACAGCCAUGCCACCCUGAAUAAGCUAGAUCCCGUCUGAUCUCGGAAGCUAAGCGGGGUUGGGCCUAGUUAGUACUUGGAUGGGAGACCACCUAUGAAGACCAAGUGCUGUAGGCA